rnacentral:rRNA from 1 species
AGAGUUUGAUCCUGGCUCAGGACGAACGCUGGCGGUGUGCUUCACACAUGCAAGUCGAACGGGGCAGCAAUACCCGGUGGCGGACGGGUGAGUAACACGUGGGAAUCUACCAUUAGAUGGGGAAUAACAGGCCGAAAGGACUGCUAAUGCCGCAUAUGAAUGUACCUCGACAGGGGUGCUUUUGAAAGGAGUAAUCCGUCUGAUGAUGAGCCCGCGUCCGAUUAGCUAGUUGGUAAGGUAAAAGCUUACCAAGGCGACGAUCGGUAGGUGGUCUGAGAGGAUGAUCACCCACAAUGGGACUGAGACACGGCCCAUACUCCUACGGGAGGCAGCAGUGGGGAAUUUUACGCAAUGGGGGAAACCCUGACGUAGCGACACCGCGUGAGCGAAGAAGCCCUUUGGGGUGUAAAGCUCUGUCAACAGGAACGAAAAAAAUGACGGUACCUGUGGAGGAAGCAUCGGCUAACUACGUGCCAGCAGCCGCGGUAAGACGUAGGAUGCAAGCGUUGUCCGGAUUUAUUGGGCGUAAAGAGUUCGUAGGCGGUUUGUUAAGUCUGAUGUUAAAGACCGGGGCUCAACCUCGGAAAUGCAUUGGAUACUGGCAGACUGGAGUGCAGUAGAGGCUAGUGGAAUUCCCAGUGUAGCGGUGAAAUGCGUAGAUAUUGGGAAGAACACCGGUGGCGUAGGCGACUAGCUGGGCUGUAACUGACGCUGAGGAACGAAAGCCAGGGGAGCAAAUGGGAUUAGAUACCCCAGUAGUCCUGGCCGUAAACGAUGGAUACUAGGCGUAGUGGGUAUCG